rnacentral:rRNA from 1 species
AUUGAACGCUGGCGGCAGGCCUAACACAUGCAAGUCGAACGGUAACAGGAAGCAGCUUGCUGCUUUGCUGACGAGUGGCGGACGGGUGAGUAAUGUCUGGGAAACUGCCUGAUGGAGGGGGAUAACUACUGGAAACGGUAGCUAAUACCGCAUAACGUCGCAAGACCAAAGAGGGGGACCUUCGGGCCUCUUGCCAUCGGAUGUGCCCAGAUGGGAUUAGCUAGUAGGUGGGGUAACGGCUCACCUAGGCGACGAUCCCUAGCUGGUCUGAGAGGAUGACCAGCCACACUGGAACUGAGACACGGUCCAGACUCCUACGGGAGGCAGCAGUGGGGAAUAUUGCACAAUGGGCGCAAGCCUGAUGCAGCCAUGCCGCGUGUAUGAAGAAGGCCUUCGGGUUGUAAAGUACUUUCAGCGGGGAGGAAGGGAGUAAAGUUAAUACCUUUGCUCAUUGACGUUACCCGCAGAAGAAGCACCGGCUAACUCCGU